GGGUGACUGAUCACACCCGCCAGCUGGCUAAUGCCAUAAUUAACAAAGUUGCUACUACGUCUGCAAAGUUUAAUAAAAAAAUUUGCCAACAAUAUGAUGGCACUGUCAGAGAGAUCACAGGGGACCUGGAGUCGACUUGCUCUCAAGGUGGAGUGACAAAGCUGCCUUCUCAAGAUGAAAAAUUGUGAGUUUGUUCAGCCAAA
rfam:Procavia capensis cont1.17963, whole genome shotgun sequence.